CAGCAGCCGCGGUAAAACGUAGGGCGCAAGCGUUGUCCGGAAUUAUUGGGCGUAAAGAGCUCGUAGGCGGUCUGUCGCGUCUGGUGUGAAAUCCCGAGGCUCAACCUCGGGCUUGCAUCGGGUACGGGCAGACUAGAGUGCGGUAGGGGAGACUGGAAUUCCUGGUGUAGCGGUGGAAUGCGCAGAUAUCAGGAGGAACACCGAUGGCGAAGGCAGGUCUCUGGGCCGCAACUGACGCUGAGGAGCGAAAGCAUGGGGAGCGAACAGGAUUAGAUACCCGUGUAGUCCCUGUCUCUUAUAC
rnacentral:rRNA from 1 species